GCACAUGCUUCAGUGGUCUGGGAGUGUUUAUAGCCCUGUGAGUUUAACACUUCAUGACUGAGAGCUGUCCUUCAUGACAACAGAACCCACAACAACCAUGACUUUUAUCACCAUCUUCAUCUGGAUAUUUGCCCUCUGUCUCCAAGAGUCCAGAGGCCAGGUCACAGUGACCCAGACUCCUGCAUUGAAAGCUGUUUCAGUGGGUCACUCAGUCAGUCUCAGCUGUAAGACCAGCAGUGCUGUACACAUUAACAGCAAUGGACACUAUUUGCACUGGUAUCAACAGAAACCUGGAGGAGCUCCUAAACUCCUUAUUUACUGGGCUAAAACCCUUCAGUCUGGGACUCCAUCUAGAUUCAGUGGCAGUGGAUCAGGGAGUGACUUCACUCUGACCAUCAGUGGAGUCCAGGCUGAAGAUGCAGGAGAUUACUACUGUCAGAGUUUACACUACCCCAACAGUGUCUGGGUGUUCACACAGUGAUACAGAGCUGUGCAAAAACCUCCCUCAGUCAGACUGCACAGUGACUGUACUGAUACAGCUGGGACUUACUGCAGGCGCUGAGGGGGAAGGGACAGUGACAUGGAAGACUGAGCAGCGAGGAAACAUUGAAUAAGGGUAGAAAGCGUAAUUCAAAUCACAUGUUCUCCCACAUCAUCAUCAUGGUUGCGACUCAUUAUAUUUGUUAUGACCUGAAAGAUCAUCUAAAGGUUAUGAGGUUUUGAAAACACAAUACCUGCCAAAUACAAAAUAAGAAGUAAAAGAAAAGGUGUCAUGACCUCAACAUUGCUUCAACGUUACAAUCACUUAAGCCCCCAAAACAAGUCCCCAAAUGUCUGAUUUAAAUGGAUUUGAUUUUACAGGAUUAUUAUGAACUAUUUUCAAUAUGCAGGUUCCUGACUGUUAGAUCUGUGAAUGAGACAUGAUGCUGGGUUCAAACACGAGACACUAUCCACAUAAAGUAUCAUUUCCAUUUUAGCGUUGUCAUUAAUUAUAUGGUGGCAUAUCUGUUAUGUCUACCUCCCUGAAUCAACCAUAGAGGUUAAACCUGUCCACUCCCUCACAUCUGACCCAGUCUAUGGUAUUUCAGGCAGUGAAACUGUUCAACUGCUAGACUGAUAGCCGUCAGACUAUAAGGGCACAAGACGAGACCCAGAUGCAGACACGGGGGGCAGAUGGUUUGAGCCAUUUUUUAUUCUAAUCCAAAAGGGUAGGCAAGAGAAUGGUCGUGGACAGGCAAAAGGUCAAAACUAGCUACAGUACUGAGAACAACCGACAACAAAACACAAUCAAUAAAGAUAAAGGCAAAAAUAAACUAUGAAAAUAUUUUUUGUCAAAACAAUACAUCAGAUAAAUGUAUGUUACAUUCAUGCUCUACAGUUUAACACACCACCAACAACCAAACACUAGGAUGGGGUUGAAGACUAGUCCUAAAAUAACUUUCAAUGAAGAUUAUUCAUUGAGCUUGCUUUUUAGUCCAGGACUAGGCUUAAUGUGUUUUGCAAACUACCCCCGAAACUACAAAGACAUUAAUAAUCAGAUUUACUAUUCACAGUGUAAAUCUCAAUAUCAAUUUUGUCAAAUCUACUCUGAGACAAGACAAAAUUACCUCAAAAUAAUAUUGAACCUUUUUGGGAUAGGGGGCAGCAUUUUCACUUUGGGAUGAAUAGCAUGCCCAGAGUGAACUGCCUCCUACUCUGUCCCAGAUGCCAAUAUCUGCAUAUUAUUAUUAGUA